UUAUUUUGUCGUUUCAAAAUUGUUCAUAAAUAAUGUCUUCUCAUUUUAAUAAACCAAUAGCUUCUUCCGUCUACAAGAUUGAUUUCAAUGUUGAAUAACUCAAACUCACCUUACAUCGUUGAUCAACAUUCUCUGAAUAAGCACUUGUGUUUUGGUGGUUGGAUGCUGUGAACUUCCUUGUGAAUACGCUUCGCAGUCUUCAAAUAACUCUAGUAACGUUUCAAGUGAAGUCAAUUCACAACUUUAAUCUCAUCAUCAAUCAGCCGUGAUACUUGUGUAGGAGUAAAUUCCAUGAUUGAUGAAAACUUAAGUCUGUUUCAUUCAAAGAUAAAAAGGUACCAUAUUCUUCCCGAAAAACUCAGCAAGUAAUCG